GGCGGAUUAGAGCAGAAGCAGCUCGCCAGCCUCAUACGCUGGAGGUCGUUGGUGCAAAUCCAACAUCCGCAACCA
rnacentral:tRNA from 2 species